CUAUCGGUACUCGCGAAUGCAUCUCAGAUUAGUAGUUUGAUCAUGGCUCAGAAUCAACGCUGGCGGCGUGCCUAACACAUGCAAGUCGAACGCGAAAGCCCCGCAAGGGGUAAGUAGAGUGGCAAACGGGUGAGUAACACGUAGGGUGACCUGCCUUCGAGGGGGUUUUUNGGGGGGGGUGGGGAUGGGGUGGGGAAAAAAUUUUUUUUAAAAAAAAAAAACCCCCAUGGGGGGUUUUUUUUUCCCCCCCCCCUGCCCCCUUGGGGG
rnacentral:rRNA from 1 species